rnacentral:tRNA from 1 species
AAAUAUGAAGUAAAAUUACAUUUAAUUUCGACUUAAAAAUUUAAUCAUUAUAAUGAUUCUUAUUUA